AUUGAACGCUGGCGGCAGGCCUAACACAUGCAAGUCGAGCGGAUGAAGGGAGCUUGCUCCUGGAUUCAGCGGCGGACGGGUGAGUAAUGCCUAGGAAUCUGCUUGGUAGUGGGGGAUAACGUCUGGAAACGGGCGCUAAUACCGCAUACGUCCUGAGGGAGCAAGUGGGGGAGCUUCGGACCUUACGCUAGCAUAUGAGCCUAGGUCGGACUAGCUAGCUGGUGGGGUAAGGGCCUACCUAGGCGACGAUCCGUAACUGGUCUGACAGGAGGAUCAGUCACACUGGAAGUGGAACACGGUCACGGCUACUGCGGGAGGGAGCAGUGGCGGAUGUUGGGCAAUGGGCGAAAGCCUGAUCCAGCGAGGGCGCGUGUGAGAAGAAGAUCUUCGGAUUGGGAAGCCCUUUAAGUUGGGAGGAAGGGCAGUAAGUUAAUACCUUGCUGUUUUGACGGUACCAGCAAAAUAAGCACCGGCUAACUUCGUG
rnacentral:rRNA from 1 species